UUGACUUGGACCAAUAGUUGUGAUAGGCCCAAGUUCUUUUAAUGUGAUUAAAAUGUUUUGAUGUAGCCCAAAACAACUCCCUCAAAUCAAAUAUUAUGUUGAUAAGCGAGAGAUGUUUUGAACAUCUCUUCGUAGGCCUUCCACCGUGGUGGGUUCCAAGCGUUUGUGACUCAUGCACCGGCUUCACCCUAUCAUGGGGAAGUACAAAGCAUGUGCUUACAUCCAGGAGGAAUCCUGAUCGGAUCAUAUUUAUAUAUAUUUUUACUUCGAAUUCACUCGUCUUUUCUUAGCUAGUUCCUUAUAUUUUUGAGCUAUUUACGUUAUUUUUGUGUUUAUAGGAUUUGUUAUGCAAAGAAAAUAAAUAGAACAAGUGAAAUUUUAUGUAAUAAAUUCGUUAAACCUGUCUGUGUAGAUCAACUUUUACAUAAAAUUAAUAAAAGAAAUAAUAAUAAUAAAUCAUGAUGAUGUUUGAAACAUCAUCAUGAUUCAUGUUUUGUGGCAUAACAGAAAAUAAGAGGAGGACAACUUAGCUACGGGGAGGUGAGGCCAGAAAUAAAAAAAAGAAGAAUAAAGGAGAAAGCUGCUUUUGGGCAGCGGGGGAGAGAGGAGGAAUAGAGGGACAAGGAGGUCAGCACGCGGAAAAGAAUAAAAGAAGUGGGAGGAGUGCGACAACGAGGGAAUUGGUGGAAGGCAGAGGGCUGCCCUUUGGGCAGCGUGAAGCUGCGGAGCGAAAAAGAUAGAAAGCGCAGGGAGGAUAGGACCGAGAGGAGGCGCUGCCUUUGGGCAGCGUGAGAGAAGAGAAGACAGAGUGCGACAGCCAGGGAAGAAGAGGAGCACAGAGGCAGAGGGCUUCACUCCGUUCUUAUUGGUGUUAUCUUCUCAAACUCAUGUUUUACGUUUGGUUUAAUUUGUUAAUAAUAUGUAACUAAUUUAUUUUGGCUAGAGGUUAAUUCAAAGCCAUGAUUAUAUCUGUAAUAUGAAUUGAUUACCUUC
rnacentral:lncRNA from 1 species